rnacentral:rRNA from 1 species
GAUGAACGCUGGCGGCGUGCCUAAUACAUGCAAGUCGAGCGAACGGACGAGAAGCUUGCUUCUCUGAUGUUAGCGGCGGACGGGUGAGUAACACGUGGAUAACCUACCUAUAAGACUGGGAUAACUUCGGGAAACCGGAGCUAAUACCGGAUAAUAUUUUGAACCGCAUGGUUCAAAAGUGAAAGACGGUCUUGCUGUCACUUAUAGAUGGAUCCGCGCUGCAUUAGCUAGUUGGUAAGGUAACGGCUUACCAAGGCAACGAUGCAUAGCCGACCUGAGAGGGUGAUCGGCCACACUGGAACUGAGACACGGUCCAGACUCCUACGGGAGGCAGCAGUAGGGAAUCUUCCGCAAUGGGCGAAAGCCUGACGGAGCAACGCCGCGUGAGUGAUGAAGGUCUUCGGAUCGUAAAACUCUGUUAUUAGGGAAGAACAUAUGUGUAAGUAACUGUGCACAUCUUGACGGUACCUAAUCAGAAAGCCACGGCUAACUACGUGCCAGCAGCCGCGGUAAUACGUAGGUGGCAAGCGUUAUCCGGAAUUAUUGGGCGUAAAGCGCGCGUAGGCGGUUUUUUAAGUCUGAUGUGAAAGCCCACGGCUCAACCGUGGAGGGUCAUUGGAAACUGGAAAACUUGAGUGCAGAAGAGGAAAGUGGAAUUCCAUGUGUAGCGGUGAAAUGCGCAGAGAUAUGGAGGAACACCAGUGGCGAAGGCGACUUUCUGGUCUGUAACUGACGCUGAUGUGCGAAAGCGUGGGGAUCAAACAGGAUUAGAUACCCUGGUAGUCCACGCCGUAAACGAUGAGUGCUAAGUGUUAGGGGGUUUCCGCCCCUUAGUGCUGCAGCUAACGCAUUAAGCACUCCGCCUGGGGAGUACGACCGCAAGGUUGAAACUCAAAGGAAUUGACGGGGACCCGCACAAGCGGUGGAGCAUGUGGUUUAAUUCGAAGCAACGCGAAGAACCUUACCAAAUCUUGACAUCCUUUGACAACUCUAGAGAUAGAGCUUUCCCCUUCGGGGGACAAAGUGACAGGUGGUGCAUGGUUGUCGUCAGCUCGUGUCGUGAGAUGUUGGGUUAAGUCCCGCAACGAGCGCAACCCUUAAGCUUAGUUGCCAUCAUUAAGUUGGGCACUCUAAGUUGACUGCCGGUGACAAACCGGAGGAAGGUGGGGAUGACGUCAAAUCAUCAUGCCCCUUAUGAUUUGGGCUACACACGUGCUACAAUGGACAAUACAAAGGGCAGCGAAACCGCGAGGUCAAGCAAAUCCCAUAAAGUUGUCCUCAGUUUGGAUUGUAGUCUGCAACUCGACUACAUGAAGCUGGAAUCGCUAGUAAUCGUAGAUCAGCAUGCUACGGUGAAUACGUUCCCGGGUCU